rnacentral:rRNA from 1 species
UGUGUAGGCGGUGUGGUAAGUCGAAUGUGAAAUCUCGGGGCUCAACCCCGAAACUGCACUCGAUACUGCCAUACUUGAGGAUUGUAGAGGAGAUCGGAAUUCACGGUGUAGCAGUGAAAUGCGUAGAUAUCGUGAGGAAGACCAGUUGCGAAAGCGGAUCUCUGGGCAAAUCCUGACGCUGAGGCACGAAGGCUAGGGGAGCAAACG